rnacentral:tRNA from 1 species
GCCCCCGUAGUUAAAUGGAUUAUAACAGUCCCGUCCUAAGGCAUAGUUGUCAGUUCGAUUCUGGCCGGGGGCA